UACGAGGGGGGCGAGCGUUGUUCGGAAUUAUUGGGCGUAAAGGGUGCGUAGGCGGCCUGACAAGUCUGAUGUGAAAUCCCUGGGCUCAACCCAGGGCCUGCAUCGGAAACUGUCGGGCUUGGAGUAUGGGAGAGGUGAGUGGAAUUUCCGGUGUAGCGGUGAAAUGCGUAGAUAUCGGAAGGAACACCUGUGGCGAAAGCGGCUCACUGGACCAUUACUGACGCUGAGGCACGAAAGCUAGGGGAGCAACAGG
rnacentral:rRNA from 1 species